ensembl:snoRNA SNORA74 Small nucleolar RNA SNORA74
UCCAGCAGUAGUCAGCUGUCAGGACAGAACCAUUCCUGUGACAGUGUUACACUGCUGGGAGAGCAGUGUUCUGUCUUCUUCCUCCAGUUGCCUCCGUCACUGUUCUGGUGACGUCUGGCACUGGAUGAGGGCAGCGCUGUGCUUCCUUGAGAGUGCGCUAAGCAUUCACUUUGGCUGCUUAGUUCUAGUCUGGGAGCAGACACA